AUACGGAGGGUCCAAGCGUUAUCCGAAAUCAUUGGGUUUAAAGGGUCCGCAGGCGGUCAAUUAAGUCAGAGGUGAAAGCCCAUCGCUCAACGAUGGAACUGCCUUUGAUACUGGUUGACUUGAGUUAUACGGAAGUAGAUAGAAUAAGUAGUGUAGCGGUGAAAUGCAUAGAUAUUACUUAGAAUACCGAUUGCGAAGGCAGUCUACUACGUAUAUACUGACGCUGAGGGACGAAAGCGUGGGGAGCGAACAGGAUUAGAAACCCCAGUAGUCC
rnacentral:rRNA from 1 species